GAGCAAUGCAAUCAAGUCUAUGAAGUUAGCAUCACCAACAAGCCUUAAGAUUACUCUCAGAUCUAUUAGAGAAGGACGCAAGCAAACACUUAGACAAUGUUUGAUUCGUGAAUUUAACAUCAGUGGACACAUUCUACUAAGAUCAUUCAAUUACAACGAUUUCUAUGAGGGUGGUAAAGCAAUCUUUUUUACAAAGGACAGAAAGUUUAAGUGGGAACCAUCAAACUUGGAGAAAGUACAUGAUGCAAUUGUAAUGCAGUUUUCUGAAGUGGUCCAUGACGAUCGUUGGGGCUACUUGGAACUUCCACAAAGACAAGUAUUCAAAACAUCUAAACUUUGAAUUUACAUAAUAAAAUGUUUGGAAAGGUCUAAACUUCGAAUUCAUUUUGGUCCUACUGCAACUCAUACGCUAUUAAACCCUAUAAAUGAUCCUCUUUGAAAGCAUUACUUCAAGUCGUGAAACUACUAUAAUGUAUUCAUUAGUACUGUAAAAAUAUUUGAUCUAAAAUUUUUUAGUAUAUC
rnacentral:misc_RNA from 1 species